AUCCCAUGAUGAGGCCACUUACAAAAUAAUUCUGUGAAUCUCUCUCAUGCCUCAUACAAAGAUUCGUUAUUGUUGAAAAGUGGUUAUCUCAUUUCACAAUUU
rfam:Gossypium raimondii Chr11_contig_967, whole genome shotgun sequence.